GAUGAACGCUGGCGGCGUGCCUAAUACAUGCAAGUCGAGCGAACGGACGAGAAGCUUGCUCCUCUGAUGUUAGCGGCGGACGGGUGAGUAACACGUGGAUAACCUACCUAUAAGACUGGGAUAACUUCGGGAAACCGGAGCUAAUACCGGAUAAUAUUUUGAACCGCAUGGUUCAAUAGUGAAAGACGGUUUUGCUGUCACUUAUAGAUGGAUCCGCGCUGCAUUAGCUAGUUGGUAAGGUAACGGCUUACCAAGGCAACGAUGCAUAGCCGACCUGAGAGGGUGAUCGGCCACACUGGAACUGAGACACGGUCCAGACUCCUACGGGAGGCAGCAGUAGGGAAUCUUCCGCAAUGGGCGAAAGCCUGACGGAGCAACGCCGCGUGAGUGAUGAAGGUCUUCGGAUCGUAAAACUCUGUUAUUAGGGAAGAACAAAUGUGUAAGUAACUAUGCACAUCUUGACGGUACCUAAUCAGAAAGCCACGGCUAACUACGUG
rnacentral:rRNA from 1 species